rnacentral:lncRNA from 10 species
CUUCCCCUGGCAAGCCGGAAGCUCCGCACCUGUAAGUAGAGGUUCAGGCUUCGACCACGCGCAGGUGCUGUUUUCUAGCUCCGAAAGCCAGGCACUAUUGAUGCAGACAGACAGGUCCCGGGCUGCGUUGUGGAAAGAGGGUCUGUGGGUCCUCUUGUCUUAAAAUGUCAGUUGGCUACGUGUACCCACAGAUUUUUAAAAGGGCAUACUCUGAGGGCCGGGCACGGUGGCUCACGCCUGUAAUCCCAGCGCUUUGGGAGGCUGAGGCGGGCGGAUCAUCAGGUCAGGAGUUCGAGACCAGCCUGACCAACAUGGUGAAACCCCGUCUCUAUUGAAAAUACAAAAAAAAUUAGCCGGGCGUGGUGGCGUGCUCCUGUAAUCCCAGCUACUCAGGAGGCUGAGGCAGAAGAAUCGCUUGAACCCGGGAGGCAGAGGUUACAGUG